AGCGAACGCUGGCGGCAGGCUUAACACAUGCAAGUCGAGCGGGCCCUUCGGGGUCAGCGGCGGACGGGUGGGUAACGCGUGGGAACGUGCCUUCUGGUCUGGAAUGAUCCUGGGAAACUAGGGCUAAUACCGGAUACGCCCUUUUGGGGAAAGGUUUACUGCCGGAAGAUCGGCCCGCGUCUGAUUAGCUAGUUGGUGGGGUAACGGCCUACCAAGGCGACGAUCAGUAGCUGGUCUGAGAGGAUGAUCAGCCACACUGGGACUGCGACACGGCCCAGACUCCUACGGGAGGCAGCAGUGGGGAAUAUUGGACAAUGGGCGCAAGCCUGAUCCCGCCAUGCCGCGUGAGUGAUGAAGGCCUUAGGGUUGUAAAGCUCUUUUAUCCGGGACGAUAAUGACGGUACCGUAGGAAUAAGCCCCGGCUAACUUCGUG
rnacentral:rRNA from 1 species